ensembl:snRNA U6 U6 spliceosomal RNA
UUGCUUCAGCAGAGAAUAUAUUAAAAUUGGAAUAAAACAGAGAAGAUUAGCAUGGUCCCUGCACAAGGAUGACACACAAAUUUGUGAAGCAUACCAUAUUUUU